rfam:Ictidomys tridecemlineatus contig052451, whole genome shotgun sequence.
AGGGUUGUGGAUCAGUGGUAGAGCGCUUGCCUGGCAUGCAUGAGGCACUGGGUUCGAUCCCUGGCAUCACAU